UUGAUUUAAGGCACUGGUUAUUUUUCUAUUCUUUUGAUUAAUUUAUGAGACUAAAAUGUACUGUGUGUAAUAUGUAUUAUUCUUUAACAAAUGACUGAAAACUUCUCAAAGUGGGCCUAUAGCUUUCAUUUACUGCAUUUAUGCCACCAAAAGUGGUGCUAUUAAGGCCAGUUAAGGGUAAGAUUAUUCAGUAAAUUAUUUCAUGGUAAUGAUCACUGUAAAUAAGAAACUAGUUUAUUCUCAGCAUGGUUGUACAGGAAACCAUAGUCUAAAGCUAAGAUGGAGAGAGUUCCUGAGUGACUGGAGAUACAGCACUUUAUUUAUUUUAGCCUGUUCUAAAGCAUUCAGACUUAGGAAUUGCAUGAUGGAAGUGCAGCAUAAUUAUGGUAUCAAAUUGGAGCACCUGAUCAUCCCUCUGGCUUUAAUGUCUGGGAACACUUUAACUCUUUGUCUGCCUUUGGAAUUUGCUAACAAAGACAGUAAUUGUGCUAAAGUCAGUGGUGUAGAAAUCCUUAUCAGCUCAUUUUGUGCAAGCCUCCGAACACCUAUUGUGCAUUGUCAGUGUUGGAAGCAGGAUUUGGUUUGUGGUUGCAGUUAUAUGCAAAAGUCUCCAUCUUCCACUGAAGCUGAAUUGACUUUCCCAAGAGAGAUAUUUAGAGGUUAUUAAUGGCAGGCAAGGAUUGUAAUGAUGCCAUACAUGCAAGUGGUACGGCCUGUGGUAGUUUAGGUGUUCUGUCAUUGUUGGUUACCUUACGGACUAACCUCUACUAAAUGAGGACUUCUGAUUUUGGUGCUGUGCAGAGAUGAAGAAUGAUACUUGUCAUGCUCAAACUCAUCAUUAUGCUUUUGCAAUGGGAACUUGUACAAUUUUAUGGGGUUUUUUUACUUGCAAAAUAAGAUCUUUAACGUGUUUUGGUAAAACAGGAAAGUCACAGUAAAAUUUUUCACUGUUUUCUUUGAGCAAACAAUUACUUUGAUUAUGCUUCCUUUAAUUUAUUUUGGCAUUACUGUGUACCAGAAAUUACUCCUGAGCUUUUUUCUACUCUUCUCCACUGGGUUUUGUUAGAUGUUGGUCCCUCAUGUUUAAUGGUUUGUUAUGCUAUUUUGAGGUGUUGGUGAGGCUUCCUGUAUUGAUGACCUUUGACAAUCACUUAUAUAAAUUUAAGGAUCGUAGGCAUUCAGACUUGAAGUUCUUGCCCCAGUUUCUGUUUCUUCUUACAGUGCAGGGUUAGUGAUGGUCCAGAACAGUAAAAAUAACUUUUCUUUGUUCAGCUGAGAAUGGCUACCAAAGCAAACUACUCUUUAUAAUUCGCCUUCCUUGCUGGGGCUUGUAAGUAGUGUAUGGACUGAAAUGGGUAUAGAAUUCUGAGAAUUUAGAAAUUUGAAAAUUUAGAAGAACAGAGUAAGAAGUAAAGUAGUUGGGGGGUUUUGUUUAUCAUUAUGGCUUGGAAAUUCAACACAGUUUUGGAGCUUACUGUAGCCUUCAAAGAGCAGCAGAUACACCUACUGCUGAUGCUAUUUUUUUUCCUCAGGGAAAUUCUCAGAAAAUGGCUUUGUAGUUGUUUUAAUGAAGUUUCAGGGGUUAUCUUGUUCAUCUGCUUACUUACUUUUGAAUAAUCCAUUCUUUUGAGUAUAGUGGAGAAGUACCAUUUUAUAAAUUGUUAAAACAGGCAGCAGAGGAUCUUCUCUAAGUUUAGACUUGGAGAUGAACUUUACUACUAGGUGAAUGGGACCACAGUCUAUUAAAGAUACAGGCAGUACUUCUAGUAAGGUGUAGAUUUGAUAGCAACUGGAAGUUGGUCGUAGAGUGUUUUAUAACCUUCUGCUUAAGUUAGUUAAAUGACUCGGCCAGGUGUAUUGUUUGAGCUUCUGUGUGAUUUAAGUGUUUUUCCAGCCUUCUUGUUUGUAUGUCUUGUCAUUUAUUUUUUCCUCUUUUUGGACUUGUUUUAUUUUUGGUUUUGUUUGGUUUUUUGUUUGUGUGUGUUUGGUUGAUCUAAUUAGCAUGGGUAUCAGCAGGAAGUUUUCAGGGCUCUGAUUCCUUGGUGUGUUACGAGUUUUGAACUUUUCCAGCAGCUGUUUAAGCAACAGUGUCAAAGUACUGUGCUAAGUACUAGGGAUAGUACUGAAAGCUGCUGAAAAUGUGGAUACACAUUCAACGAUAGUCUUAGCAUCUUAAUGCAUUUAAUAAUAGGGUUCUUUUUUACUGCAGUGCUGCAGUAUAGCUCUUAAUGAUGAGUUACACAGGUAACAUAAUUUCAGCAUGCAGUGCUAUUACUGUAAGGCUGUUUCUUUAUUCUCAGUGUUACAUUUGGUUCAUUCCCUCUGUAAGAGCACAAGGUGUGGAUCAAAUGUAAGUUACACCAUCUUUUUACAGAUGUUGUUAGUGGUUUUUUUUGUAAUCCAUUGUCUUGUGGGUCCUAGCUAUUGCUAACUGAGUGUUGUCUUUGGUGGUUACAUAUCUAGUCAGUAAUCCUUUUAGUUGCAUAAAGUGCUAAGUUCUGAAUUUGGUAUCCAUCAAGAGUUGCUUAUGCUGGUUUAUAAAUGGUGUUUUCCUUUAAAUCCUUGUCAACAAAUAUAAAUUCUAGAAAUAACUCAAUGUUUCUUCAGUAACUUUGAAGUCUGUGCAAUGUAGAGGGAUGGAAUCUCUGUCAAGAUGAGAGAAAAUUUAAAUGCCUCUUAAGCUUCCUCUGACCUUCAUUUCACCCAACUCCACAGUCAUGGAUAGCUGACAGAGAGAGAUGAUGACUGUCAAUUUAUCUAUAAGAAAGUGUAGAAAUCAAAAAGUCAGAAUGUAACCAUACUAAAUUUAUGUUUCUAUACAUUUAGUGCUCUUACAGCUAUUAAGGAAGACUGAUUAAAAAUUAACCCAGUAAUUCAUGUAUGAUUGCUUUGGUAUCUGUUGUGACUGCAAUUUUGAAAUACUUUUCUUUUUAACGAAAAGCAAGCAAAAAUUUCUCAGACAGAAUCUGAAUAAUGAGUGACUUGUUUGGCAUAUAUUGCCACUGAGCUGGGAUAAGCAAAGGGAAAAAAAGGCUUCUGUAGAUUUCCUGGAAGAUUAUUUUAAGCUUCAUAAUUUUACUGGAUGUAUGUGUGUUGAAAUAUCAUAAUGUGUUUUUGUACCAUAUGAAAGAUUCCAUAUUUUUCUGAGGAAGUCUGUCUGUGGACUAUAAACAGCGUUUUAAUUUGUACUUCCAGAUUGAGCCUGACAGAAGUGGAAUACUUUACUUUCCUUUUAGGAUUUUGUGAGGGUUCAUGCUUUAAUGCCUACCAUAUAGAAAGGAAUAUAAGGGGAGGGAGAACAACUUAGGAUAUUUCAUGAUUAUUGUGUGUGUCAGCUUGUUCAUGGUAUUAAUUGUCAUUCUCCAUUGAUGUCACUUUCACUCAGAUUAUAAGCAUUUCUGAAAUCUAUCAAGGAAGGAUUUAAUAGUAAUAAUUAGUUAAUAUUUAGCAUUAAGGUUUGUUUGUUAUCAGCUGUUCAGUGAAGAAUCUUGACCUGGCCUUAACGUGAAAUGUUUCCUGAACAUCUUUGAUUAAUUUGUUUUUGAAAUCCUAUAGUCUGAAAUUCUUAAAGUUCCUUAUGUGUAUGUAUGCAUAUGAGACUAUAUAAAGCUUUUUUUAAAAUAAAAUUACCUGAAACAAACCUGCUGGUGAAAGAAUGAGUAGUUGCUGCUUUUACAGUCUCAUUCCGUGCAGUCCUACAAAAUAAGACCAAGUAAAAAUAAAAUAAAAGGAACCAUGAGUUAAUGACUGCGUACUUUAAGUACUUGUUAAAUAAUUUACUGUAGCACCCAAAUGAAUUCAAGGUAUAAAUGUACCUCUUUAAUCUGCUGAAUGAGGUUAUUAUGUUAAGAAUGGAUCAGCAUAUUGCACUGCCAAGUGUUCUUUAGUAGGCCUAAUAUCCCAAAUUGGGUGAAAUGUCGAAUUGCUCAUAAAUGUUCAGGGAUUGGUGUAGGAUGUGCAUGUGCCUCCAUUUUAUUUUUUUUCUCUCCAAGUGUAUGAGACUCCUUCCAGUACUGUAAUUGGUUGUGAAAAAGAGGAGUUUCUGAGCCUGUAUUUGAUUGGAGAGAGAGGAGGGCGGGUAGAAGGUGUGAAAGAAAUGGUCAUGAUGCUUGUUUUGAUUUUCUUCUUUUUUUCUGGUGGGGAAAGGGAUUUUAAUUUUUGAAAUACUGUCAGGCAUCAGUGUGUCAGUCAAGUAUAUGCAGUUAUUGGCAAUACAGCCUCUUCCUGUUUGUGGGGAAAGUAGCUAAAAGGCCUUGUUAUGAAUUGGUGCUCUGCUUUGCUGGCUGCUUUGUAACAAAGAGCAGAAAAGAUAAUGUUGAAGGACUUGGUGUCUGAUGUCCAUACAACUUCUGAAGUGAUUUUAAGAUGGUGCCCGCAUUAAAGCAGGCAAAAUCCUAAAUAUUUUUAGUGGUUGAUGGAAAAACAGAGCAGCAAAGCGGGAUUAGUAAUCUCUGUGUUCUUGUGGAGUUGAACUUUGUUCAUGAAGUGU